ACUUCCACGCACGUCCAGAGGUUGAUUGCCCAGGUCUGGGUGACAAAGGGGACCUGCCGCAGACAGUCAUAUAUACCUCUGUUCGUGGUUAGUGCACACUUGCUGUGUUCACUCCGUCUUGUGGCUUGACGAGGGAGGUGCCAUACUCUCUGGGGACAGAUUGGAGUCUCUUGUGGGCUUGCCUUGGUGGUGAAGCUGUUUGCCAGUUGUGGAGAGCAAACCCUCAUGAAUCAACUGACGUGCCUACAGGAGGAUCAAGGCCUGGGGAGGCUGACUCGCUCAAGACUUGGGGGUCUCCCGUCUCCCAUUCGACCUGACCUUGGAGUCUGAAGUGUGGGGCCAACUUGCCAGUUUCGGUUGGGACUUUCCUUCAAAUGGUGCACCUGCUGCCAGGCGAGAGACUUUCAGAUGUCAGGCUCAGCCUGGGAAGAAGCUGUUCUCACAAGCCUGGCUCAGCUGCCCUGACUCUCCUCACAGAGGCCAUGCUGUCCAGGACAAGACGCUGGCUGGAAAGACUACAUGAAAUUAAGCCGACCUUCUGUUUUGGUGCUUCUCUCUGGAAACCUCCAGCUGACAAACCCAGCCCCAUGUCUGAGGCAGUCACAGCCUGAAGAGGAGACCCAGCCAUGGGACUGUGGCCACUCUGAACCACACAGGCCACCGGGAAGGAAGGGAGGUGGCAGCAGCUUUCCUCAUGUCUUCAGACUAAGAAGGUGUCCGAGCUUCCCUGAAGUCACUCCAGUUCU